UGGGAUGUAGCUCAGUGGUAGAGGGCAUGCUUAGUAUGUAUGAGGUACUGGUUCAAUAUCUGUCACAA
rnacentral:tRNA from 1 species